CCUUUCUCUGACGGCUAAAGGAUGUUAUAUUCAAACAUUUUUUAGGUGUCUCUCAGUCAUUUUUAAGUACGUUUGUUAAGAGUUUUUCAGUUUAGGUCUAUAACAAAUAUUUUUAUUGGAUUAAAUUUUUAAUAACUAAUUUCCUGAGUUCUUCACAUAUUUUUGGAAUGGAUUUAUGAUAAAUAAAGAUCUUUUCCCACUCUAGCCUUGUUAUACAAAAGGUUCUCAAUUCAGGAGAUCUAAUUUAUGGUUUCUCACAAUGUUUGUGCCACUGAGGCUGUGUUUACGAUGUGGCAAGGUGUACUUCAAAAAAUUUUUCUCUAUAAGUUUCAACAAAAUUUUUAUAUGCUGAAGCCUUUGGCUCAUUUGGGCUUAAAUUUUGUUCAUGGAGAUGGAUAUAGAUCUAUUUUCAUUCUUCUACAUGUUGGUGUCUAAUGAGACCAGCAUUACUAGUUAAAAAAUGUUUCGUUUUUCCAUUUUCCUAUCUGCAAGGCAGACUUGGAACUUAAGAGGAGGAUAGCUUACAAACUUUUAAUUAGAUAUUCAAUGAUUAAAGCCCUACUUAUAAUAUUCUUAUGGGAGACCUUGAGCUGCUAGGUAAAAUUCUUACAAAAAACAGUUUUCAAUAGAAGCCUUAAACGGGCUGCCUAACAGGUACUCAAACAGAUAAAGUAUAAAUCAACAGGUAAAGUAUACAAUAAUCAACAAAUACAGUAUAUUAAUUAUAAUUCAGCUAUGGCAAGAAUAUUUAUAUUAAGUAAAACUUAUUCUACAACAGUUUUAUAAAAAAUGCUGUUUAUGACUAAACCUUUCCAGUUUUGCCAGUUAAUAUUAAACUCUUAAUUUAGAACAGUAGCCUGUCUGAUACAAAAGGACAGGAUAACAUCUAGAAAAAAAUGGUUAGAUAGAAUAUUGACUAUAAUCAAUGUUUCCUAAACAAUAGAUUCAUUGAUAAUUUUAAGAUUGAUUCCUGGACAAUUGCCUUUGCUCAAUUCAAGGCCAAAAACGAUGAUCUUUUCCCAGAUCAUUGCCUGUAUUUUGCUAAUGUUAUGGCAAAAAAUCCCUUAAAGGAUUUUAUGCUAAAAUUUUACAAAUGGCUCUUCCAAUGGAGGAACUGCAUAUAUGGUUAAU